ACCGAAGGAGAACUGUUUUGCUUUGCUCCGGGAAGAGUGCAGACACGACGUGAAAUCCGGAGCUCUUUGCGUGGUGCAUUUAAAAUGCUUCCUUAUUUAUAUUACCCUCAUCCCCUCCCCUCUCCCACCCCCUCACCAGCCCUUCCAAAUUUCCCUAGAAAUCUGUGUAAAGCGUGGAGGGGAAAACAUUUGCAUAAAAAGUGAAGGAGCACGCCAAGGAGCACCAAGGACCAAGAGGAGACCAGAUGAGUUCUCAGACACCCAGGACGCAUGUCAUCCUUGCCUCGUGCUUUCUGCAAUGUGGCUGCUCACCUUCAUCUUUCUAUUAACCCUCGCCAUAACGAUUCCCUCCUGACACCACCUCUUCUCCAUUAAUCACCCACUCAGCUCUCUCUGAGGUGUCUCUCCCAUGGGGCAUGGCUUUAUCUCUGGCAGGCUCCCCUCGAAUCAUAUCCAGAUGGCUACCAUUACUUCCUUUUCCUCUGUCUCCUCUUCACACCAGACUCAGUUAACACUCAGUCAGCUAACACUUGGUCAGGAAAAGCCAGAGAAAAAGCUCCCUCUUCCGAAAAGGAAGUCAGAGCAUGCUCUGCUGGGGCCACCAUGCUCAGGGAAGAGACCCAAAAUACAGCUGAGUGUGAUGUCAUUGAAACCAGAUGGAAAGACCAGAAAUCCCUUAAUCCCAGUCAGACCUAGUGAGGGAGCUUUGCUCGUGACUGUUGGGACUGAUUAAGAAUAUGGGGGCAGGGAGGAAGAUGUUCUGAAUUGGAUCACCCUUCAAUACAGAAUGGAAUCCCCUAGGUUUUUUUUUCCUCCAAUUAAAUGUGCAUUUCAUUCU
rnacentral:lncRNA from 1 species